rnacentral:lncRNA from 1 species
GUUUAAUUAGUUCAAUACCUUUUGUGAAAUUUUUAACUCCAAAGUUUAUGAGUGUAUUUAGUUGACCAGUACUAAGUUUUAAACUCUUAUUAAAUGUAUGGGUAUGUUUAAUUGAUUAGUACCUUUUGUUAAAUUUAAACUCUUAGGUUCUGAAGUACUCUCUUUUUUAUUAUCCAAUAAAUUGGUGACGUUGGACUACUGGUGUAGGCUUUGA